rfam:Triticum urartu cultivar G1812 contig1450051, whole genome shotgun sequence.
GUUGUACUCCUUCUGUCCUAAAUUUCUUGUUUUAGAUUUGUUUAGAUAUGGAUGUAUCUAAUAUUGAAAUGAGACUUGAUACAUCCGUAUCUAGACAAAUCUAAAAUAGAAUUUUGAGACGGAGGGAGUACUAU